GAAACCAACAGGGAUUGCCCCAGUAACGGCGAGUGAAGCGGCAAGAGCUCAAAUUUGAAAUCUGGCCUCCCCAGGGGGUCCGAGUUGUAAUUUGGAGAGGAUGCUUCGGGUGCGGCCCCGGUCUAAGUCCCUUGGAACGGGGCAUCAGAGAGGGUGAGAGUCCCGUCUUCGGCCGGCGGCCAAGCCCGUGUGAAGCUCCUUCGACGAGUCGAGUUGUUUGGGAAUGCAGCUCUAAAUGGGUGGUAAAUUUCAUCUAAAGCUAAAUAUUGGUUGGAGACCGAUAGCGCACAAGUAGAGUGAUCGAAAGACGAAAAGCACUUUGAAAAGAGAGUUAAACAGCACGUGAAAUUGUUGAAAGGGAAGCGCUUGCGACCAGAGUCGGCCGCGGGGGCUCAGCGGGCAUGCUUGCCCGUGCACUCCCCCGUGGUUGGGCCAGCAUCGGUUCGGGCGGUUGGUUAAAGGUCCCCGGAAUGUGUCGCCCUUCGGGGCGUCUUAUAGCCGGGGGCGCAAUGCGGCCUGCCCGGACCGAGGCACGCGCUACGGCACGGAUGCUGGCAUAAUGGUCGUAAGCGGCCCGUCUUGAAACACGGACCAAGGAGUCUAACAUCCACGCGAGUGUUCGGGUGUCAAACCCGUCCGCGCAGUGAAAGCGAACGGAGGUGAGAGCCUGGCUUCCAGGUGCAUCAUCGACCGAUCCUGAAGUCUUCGGAUGGAUUUGAGUAGGAGCGUGGCUGUGGGGACCCGAAAGAUGGUGAACUAUGCCUGAAUAGGGUGAAGCCAGAGGAAACUCUGGUGGAGGCUCGCAGCGGUUCUGACGUGCAAAUCGAUCGUCAAAUUUGGGUAUAGGGGCGAAAGACUAAUCGAACCAUCUGGUAGCUGGUUCCUGCCGAAGUUUCCCUCAGGAUAGCAGCAACGUUUUCAGUUUUAUGAGGUAAAGCGAAUGAUUA
rnacentral:rRNA from 1 species